ensembl:lncRNA
AUGCUGAACCUCUUUUUUUUUUUUUUUUUUGAGACAGAGUCUCACUAUGUCACCCAUGCUGGAGUGCAGUGGCGCCAUCUUGGCUCACUUCAAGCUCCGCCUCCCGGGUUCACGCCUCCUGCCUCAGUCUCCCGAGUAGCUGGGACUACAGGCGCCCGCCACCACGCCCGGCUAAUUUUUUGUAUUUUUAGUAGGAAUGGAGUUUCACCGUGUUAGCCAGGAUGGUCUCUAUCUCCUGACCUGGUAAUCUGCCCGCCUCGGCCUCCCAAAGUGCUGGGAUUACAGGCCUGAGCCACCGCGCCCGGCCAGCUCUGACUUUUUCCAUUUGAAACUCUUACUGUAAGAGUUUUCCACGGCCAGGCGCUGUGACUCACACCCGUAAUCCCAGUACUUUGGAAGGCAGAGGCGGAGGGAUCACUUGAGGUGAGGAGUUUGAGACCAGCCUGCCGACAUGGCGAAAACCCAUCUCUACCAAAAACACAAAAAUUAGCCAGGCACGGUGAUGUGCACCUGUAACCCCAGCUAUUCAGGAGGCUGAGGUAGGAGGACUGCUUGAACCCGGGAGUCAGAGGCUGCAGUGAGCCAAUAUCACGCCACUGCCCUCCAGCCUGGGAUACAGAGCGAGACUUCCUUCUCAAAAAGAAAAAAAAAAAAAAAAAAAGAUUUGGACGGUUACUCAUCCUCUCUAUGCCUCUGUUUCAUAAUCUGUAAAAUGCAACAACACAUACAUUGGUUUGUACGGGAAAUUUAAUGUGGUAAUUUGUGUGUGUGUGCACGAAAUAACGAAACAUGUAGCAUAAAACAUUGCAAAAGGAAAAAGAAAUCUUCAUAAGGACGAUCAGUCUUAAGCCUCAAGGUGUUAGUGUAGUAUCUGUUACUGCAUUAUCCCCUCUGUGGUGUUUGCAAUAAGACAGUAUGCUUGUUUCUUUUCCUUACUCCCCAAAGUGAAGGCAUUAGAACUAGAAAUCAGGGUUUUGUCUGUUUUUGACCAAGUGCUUCUUAGGUGGACAGCAAGUCAUUUUGAUAGGACCUCUGCUUCUCAGGGACCCUUACCCAAACUGAGAUAGAAGAAAUCACCUUUUAACAUCUUGCAUUUACUUGUGAAGUCAGAACAAAGGAAAAAGGAUCAUCAUAAAAAUUAUAUUUUCCAUCAGUUUGGUGGUAAAUUUGAGGAACUGUCUUAGCAGAUAAUUAGAGCACCUUUUCAUGAUAAAAGUAUACUACCUGCAUGAUUUAGUCUCUGUUUUGUACAGAAUUUGACGAAUUUGACCAAAUCAUUGACCUUGAGCUUCAUUUUUUUUCUACUGUCCUUGGAUCCUUUAUUCUUCUGUGAAAAUAUUUUCCAAGGUAGAAUUGUUUAAUUUACAGCUCUAGAUGAAACAGCACACAAAAUUAUGAAACAUGUACAACAGGUGGAAAGUGAGGUGACUGAUGUUAGAAAGUACACAUAGAUAGUAAAAAUUGUUCAUUGUUAUGCAUUUCUUUUAAUGGCAGUGAAUAAUUAACACAUUAGUCCAUAAUGUUAUGUAUAUUAUUGCUUAGGACCAUGUUGUAAAAAUGCAAGAGUGAAUGAAACCAAUAAUAUUAGUUAAUAGUACAAGUGGAAUGGGGGCAUGGUCCAGGGAUGCCUGAUGUCUGGGAAACCCUGAGAUCAAGAGCUGGGCUUGCCUAAUUCAACAGCCUACUUGCCUAAAUUUCUCAAUUUGUGAUAAUUCCUUUAUUUCUCAACACUAGUCACUAUGACUGGUAUUUUUUAGUAAAUGGUACCUUUUCUUCAAAGGGAUUCUUGGCCUCUUACCCUGUCAAGACAUGCUCUUCCUUUGAAACCAGGAUAUUUUCCUUCAUGGAGCAUCAUUUCUUACUCCAUCUCUUUGUAUCUCCUAUUUGGCUCACAUCCUUCCCUUAAAAGGAACAAGCUUGGUGGUCCAUCUAAAGUAAUGGACUUAAAAAAGUAGAUUAGAGUUUCACUCCAAACUCUGCUAUUCACUAACAUGGGACCUCAAACAAGGCACUUUUCUCCUCUUUUCUACCAGGGAAAUGAUAUUAAUAUUCUUUGUUUCUUAUAUCACAAAUACACAAACCUAGUAAGUCUGAUGGUGGGACACUCUGCAUCUUGAGCACAGGUGAAAGUCCAUGGUGUCUCUAAAAUAGUAGAAACAAGGGUUACCUACAAGACAGUCCUGUUGUGAGCCUUAAUAAAAAUGGCUUGAAUGAAAUGGCUUCACCCAUGUGCUGUUGGGUUCCUUCUUUUUUCCAAUGCUCAAUGAAAAAUUACAGUGUAUGUAAAUGUUCAGUAGGUGAUGCUGAAAUUUUCUUGGCUAGAUAGCACCUGCCAAACAAAGCUUCCUCUUGGAUGUAGUGAGUUUUGAGCCCCUUGAUCACCUAUUAGUCUAGAGGUAGGUGAAGGGAAGGGAGAUAGCCAAGAAGAGGAACUAUUACAUUGUUGUUUGUUAACUGAGAGAUAUCUUCCAGGCUAUUAACCAGUCCUCUAAUCUAGAUCUCAGGGGCUUGAGAUCAUCCUAUAGUAUCUGCGCUAAUGCUUUCUCUUGCUCCAUUAAAUGACAGUUCUAAAUGACAGGACCUCACAUCUUCUCUACAAUAAAAUAGAUUACAAGCAUGUUUUUUUUUUGUUGCAUAGUUUAAAAAUAAUGAUGUAAUCUGUAUAUAAUAAUUUUAUCUCCUGACCUCGUGAUCCACCCGUCUCGGCCUCCCAAAGUGCUGGGAUUACAGGCUUGAGCCACCGCGCCCGGCCUGAAACCCCCAUCUCUACUAAAGAAAACACAAAAAUUAGCCAGACGUGGUGGCUCACGCCUGUAAUCCCAGCUACUCAGGAGGCUGAGGCAGGAAAAUCUCUUGAACCCUGGAGACAAA